GAAAAUGGCUCAGUAGACUGUGACCCUUGUCUCUAGAUAAAGAAGGAUUCUGUGGAGGGUCACAGUAAGCCUCUGAGGCUAGUGAAAUCUGCCAGGAAACACGGGAUCUACGGAGGCAAGGACAAAGCUUUGUCACAAUACAAAGAUAUCAAAAU